GCCUCCGUGGUGGAACUGGCAGACACGCAGCGUUCAGGGCGCUGUUCCCGCAAGGGAGUAGAGGUUCAAAUCCUCUCGGGGGCACAA
rnacentral:tRNA from 4 species